rnacentral:rRNA from 1 species
AGUUUGAUCCUGGCUCAGGAUGAACGCUGGCGGCGUGCUUAACACAUGCAAGUCGAACGGGGUAGCAAUACCUAGUGGCGGACGGGUGAGUAACGCGUGAGAACCUGUCUCGAGGUGGGGGACAACAGUUGGAAACGACUGCUAAUACCCCAUAUGCCGCGAGGUGAAAGAUUUAUCGCCUUGAGGGGGGCUCCGCGUCCGAUUAGCUCGUUGGUGGGGUAACGGCCUACCAAGGCGACGAUCGGUAGCUGGUUUGAGAGGACGACCAGCCACACUGGGUCUGAGACACGGCCCAGACUCCUACGGGAGGCAGCAGUGGGGGAAUUUUCCGCAAUGGGCGCAAGCCUGACGGAGCAACGCCGCGUGUGGGAUUGAGGCCUCUGGGUUGUAAACACUUUUCUCAGGGACGAAGCUCUGUCGGUACCUUAGGAAUAUCCUCUGA